GUCUUAAAGAUUUUAAUUUUAAGUCUAAUCUGCCCAAUGAAAUUUUUGAAUGGCUGCAGUAUUUUAACUGUACAAAGGUAGCAUAAUAAUUUGUUUUUUAAAUGAAAACUAGAAUGAAUGAUUAAAUGAAAUAUAAACUGUUUCAAUUAAGUAAAUUUAAAUUUUUAUUUAAGUAAAAAAACUUAAAUAAUUUUUUAAGACGAUAAGACCCUAUAGAAUUUUAUUUAUUAAAAAAUAAUUUUUUUUUAAUAAAUUUUAUUGGGGUAAUAUAAAAAUUAAAUUAAUUUUUUAUUAAAAACACAUUUAUAAAUGAUAAUUAAAUCUUAAUUUUUAAAUUAAAAAAAUUAAUUACCUUAGGGAUAACAGCAUAAUUUUUUUUGAAAGAUCUUAUUAAUAAAAAAGAUUAU
rnacentral:rRNA from 1 species